rnacentral:rRNA from 1 species
GACGAACGCUGGCGGCGUGCCUAACACAUGCAAGUCGAGCGAGUGGAUUUCCUUCGGGAAAGAAGCUAGCGGCGGACGGGUGAGUAACACGUGGGCAACCUGCCUCAUAGAGGGGAAUAGCCUCCCGAAAGGGAGAUUAAUACCGCAUAAGAUUGUAGCUUCGCACGAAGUAGCAAUUAAAGGAGCAAUCCGCUAUGAGAUGGGCCCGCGGCGCAUUAGCUAGUUGGUGAGAUAACGGCUCACCAAGGCGACGAUGCGUAGCCGACCUGAGAGGGUGAUCGGCCACAUUGGGACUGAGACACGGCCCAGACUCCUACGGGAGGCAGCAGUGGGGAAUAUUGCACAAUGGGGGAAACCCUGAUGCAGCAACGCCGCGUGAGUGAUGACGGCCUUCGGGUUGUAAAGCUCUGUCUUCAGGGACGAUAAUGACGGUACCUGAGGAGGAAGCCACGGCUAACUAC